rnacentral:rRNA from 1 species
UGGAUAACCUGCCCUCGGCACCGGAAUAGCCCGGGGGAAACUCGGAUUAAUGCCGGAUAGCCCCACAGCCCGCAGGGGCGGUGGGAAAAGGUAGCUUCGGCCUCUGGCCGAGGAUGGGUCCGCGGCGGAUUAGCUAGUUGGUGGGGUAACGCCCACCAAGGCGACGAUCCGUAGCUGGUCUGAGAGGACGAACAGCCACACGUGGGACUGAGACACGGCCCAGACCUCCGUACGGGAGCAG